rnacentral:rRNA from 1 species
UGGGCCGGUUUACAGGUGGUGCAUGGCUGUCGUCAGCUCGUGUCGUGAGAUGUUGGGUUAAGUCCCGCAACGAGCGCAACCCUUGUCCUAUGUUGCCAGCAAUUCGGUUGGGGACUCAUAGGAGACUGCCGGGGUCAACUCGGAGGAAGGUGGGGACGACGUCAAGUCAUCAUGCCCCUUAUGUCCAGGGCUUCACGCAUGCUACAAUGGCCGGUACAAAGAGCUGCGAGCCUGUGAGGGUGAGCGAAUCUCAAAAAGCCGGUCUCAGUUCGGAUUGGGGUCUGCAACUCGACCCCAUGAAGUCGGAGUCGCUAGUAAUCGCAGAUCAGUAACGCUGCGGUGAAUACGUUCCCGGGCCUUGUACACACCG